rnacentral:rRNA from 1 species
ACAAGCGGUGGAGCAUGUGGUUUAAUUCGAAGCAACGCGAAGAACCUUACCAAAUCUUGACAUCCUUUGACAACUCUAGAGAUAGAGUCUUCCCCUUCGGGGGACAAAGUGACAGGUGGUGCAUGGUUGUCGUCAGCUCGUGUCGUGAGAUGUUGGGUUAAGUCCCGCAACGAGCGCAACCCUUAAGCUUAGUUGCCAGCAUUAAGUUGGGCACUCUAAGUUGACUGCCGGUGACAAACCGGAGGAAGGUGGGGAUGACGUCAAAUCAUCAUGCCCCUUAUGAUUUGGGCUACACACGUGCUACAAUGGACAAUACAAAGGGCAGCUAAACCGCGAGGUCAUGCAAAUCCCAUAAAGUUGUUCUCAGUUCGGAUUGUAGUCUGCAACUCGACUACAUGAAGCUGGAAUCGCUAGUAAUCGUAGAUCAGCAUGCUACGGUGAAUACGUUCCCGGGUCUUGUACACACCGCCCGUCACACCACGAGAGUCUGUAACACCCGAAGCCGGUGGAGUAACCAUUUAUGGAGCUAGCCGUCGAAGGUGGGACAAAUGAUUGGGGUGAAGUCGUAAC